UUUUGAUAUUUGUUAAGUUUGCAGAUGAGUUUGGGGCCUCUGGCAACAUAGAGACUAAGGAACUGGGUAAGAAAAAAACAAAUGUUACAAUCAUGUUACUUACAACGCUUCCUCCUGCUAAAUUAAAAGUUCUUUCUGCUCCUCACCCCCUUCCAGGUGUGGUAUCUGUGCGCUUUGAAGAAGAUGAAGACAGGAACUUGUGUCUAAUAGCAUAUCCAUUGAAAGGGGACCAUGGAAUUGUGGACAUUGUAGAUAAUUCAGACUGUGAACCAAAAAGUAAGCUCCUAAGGUGGACAACAAACAAAAAACAUCAUGUCUUAGAAACAGAAAAGACCCCUAAGGACUGGGUGCGCCAGCACCGUAAAGAGGAGAAAAUGAAGAGCCAUAAGUUAGAAGAAGAAUUUGAGUGGCUUAAGAAAUCUGAAGUCUUGUACUACACUGUAGAGAAGAAGGGGAAUAUAAGUUCCCAGCUUAAACACUAUAACCCUUGGAGCAUGAAAUGUCACCAGCAACAGUUACAGAGAAUGAAGGAGAAUGCAAAGCAUCGGAACCAGUACAAAUUUAUCUUACUGGAAAACCUGACUUCCCGCUACGAGGUGCCUUGUGUCCUUGACCUCAAGAUGGGCACACGACAACAUGGUGAUGAUGCUUCAGAGGAGAAG
rnacentral:sRNA from 1 species